UACGUAGGUGGCAAGCGUUGUCCGGAGUUAUUGGGCGUAAAGCGCGCGCAGGCGGCCUUUUAAGUCUGAUGUGAAAGCCCACGGCUUAACCGUGGAAGGUCAUUGGAAACUGAAAAGCUUGAGGACAGAAGAGAAAAGCGGAAUUCCACGUGUAGCGGUGAAAUGCGUAGAGAUGUGGAGGAACACCAGUGGCGAAGGCGGCUUUUUGGUCUGUAACUGACGCUGAGGCACGAAAGCGUGGGGAGCAAAUA
rnacentral:rRNA from 1 species